UACGUAGGGUGCGAGCGUUGUCCGGAAUUAUUGGGCGUAAAGAGCUCGUAGGCGGUUGGGUAAGUCGGGUGUGAAAACUCCAGCUCAACUUGGAGACGCCACCCGAUACUGCUCUGACUUGAGUUUCGGUAGGGGGAGUGGGGAAUUCUGGUGUAGCGGUGAAAUGCGCAGAUAUCAGGAGGAACACCGGUGGCGAAAGGCGC
rnacentral:rRNA from 1 species